GGGGGGGGGGGGGGGGGGGGGGGGGGGGGGGGGGGGGGGGGGGGGGGGGGGGGGGGGGGGGGGGGGGGGGGGGGCGGCAGAUUCGGCACAGCCAGGGAAAUUUGGGGAGAAUCGGGGAAAAUCUGGGAACAGAGAGAGGGGGGAAAGGGAAAAGGGAAAAGGGAAAGGGGAGGAGGGGAAGGAAGCGGGGGGAGAGCCGUGAGGGGGCUCCGGUGACAGCGGGGUCGUGGAGAUCGUGAGGGUGCGGGUGGCGAAUCGGCGGAGCGGCGGCGAGGGGGGGGGGGAGCGGCGGCGAGAGCUGGGCCGGAGCGGCGCGGGGACGGGACCCGGACCGGGACCGGGACCGGGACCGGGAUUGGACCGGGACCGGGACUGGACCGGGACCGGGAUUGGAAUCAGGAUCCGUACUGGGACUGGGAACGGGACUGGGACAGAGAAGCCCACUCGGGACUGGGACCGGAACCGGGAACCCCACACGGGACCGGGACCUGGAUCGGCAACGGGACCGGGACCAGGACCAGGACCAGGAUUGGGACAGAAAAACCCACUCGGGACCGGGAAUCCCACACGGGUACGGGAUCGGGAUCGGGACCGGGAUUGGAAUCAGGAUCCGGACUGGGACUGGGAACGGGAUAGAGAAACCCACUCGGGACUGGGACCGGGACCGAGAACCCCACACGGGAUCGGGAAUCCCACACGGGUACGAGAUGGGGAUCGGGACGGGGAUCGGGAUUGGAAUCAGGAUCUGGACUGGGACUGGGUCUAGGAACCUCACACGAAACCGGGAAUCACACACGGGACCGGGACCGGGACCGGGGUUGGAAUCAGAAUCUGGACUGGGACUGGGAACAGGAUUGGGACAGAGAAACCCACUCGGGACUGGGACCGGAACCGGGAACCCCACACGGGAUCGGGAAUCCCACACGGGUACGGGAUCGGGACCGGGAUUGGAAUCAGGGUCCGGACUGGGACUGGGAACGGGACAGAGAAACCCACUCGGGAUUGGGACUGGGAUCGGGAACGCCACACGGGUACGGGAUCGGGACCGGGAUCGGGAUCGGGAUCGGGAUCGGGAUCGGGAUCGGGAUCGGGACCAGAACCGGGAACCGGGAUCGGGAUCGGGAUCGGGACCGGGAUCGGGAUCGGGAUCGGGAUCGGGAUCGGGAUCGGGAUCGGGACAAGAACCGGGAACGGGGGGGGGGGGGGGGGGGGGGGGGGGGGGGGGGGGGGGGGGGGGGGGGGGGGGGGGGGGGGGGGGGG
rnacentral:lncRNA from 12 species